rnacentral:rRNA from 1 species
UACGGGACGAGUGCAUUUAUUAGAGCAAAACCAAACGGCUUCGGUCGUUUUAUGCUGACUCAGAAUAACUCAGCUGAUCGCACGGUCUUUGAACCGGCGACGUGUCUUUUGAGUAUCUGCCUUAUCAAUUUUCGAUGGUAGUGUAUUGGACUACCAUGGUGUUGACGGGUAACGGAGAAUAAGGGUUCGACUCCGGAGAAGGGGCCUGAGAAAUGGCCACUACGUCUAAGGAUGGCAGCAGGCGCGCAAAUUACCCACUCUCGGAAUGAGGAGGUAGUGACGAGAAAUAACGAGACCGUUCUCUAUGAGGCCGGUUAUCGGAAUGGGUACAAUUUAAACCCUUUAACGAGUAUCUAUGAGAGGGCAAGUCUGGUGCCAGCAGCCGCGGUAAUUCCAGCUCUCAAAAUGCAUAGAACCAUUGCUGCGGUUAAAAAGCUCGUAGUUGAAUCUAUGCUAGAGGCUUGGUCCAUUCCAUUGAAUGCGUACUAGGUUCUUUGGCUUUUUAUAGACGUCGGUUUUCUUGUUGUGGCCUUGAUUGGUGGCGGCAAGUAGCUGACAAUUUUACUUUGAACAAAUCAGAGUGCUUAACACAGGCGUUUUGCUUGUAUGCUUUUGCAUGGAAUAAUAGAAUAUGACUUCGGUCUAGUUUUAUUGGUUUUAUAGAUCGUUGUAAUGAUUAAAAGAGACAAACGGGGGCAUUCGUAUUGUUGCGUGAGAGGUGAAAUUCUUGGACCGUAGCAAGACGGCCUACAGCGAAAGCAUUUGCCAAGCUUGUCUUCAUUAAUCAAGAACGAAAGUCAGAG